AUAAGAAGGUUUCAUUUAACAGUUCUAUUUUAAUUCACCUUUGCCCUGUUGAAUCGUUGCCAACAUUAGCUCACACGACAUCUGUCUUUUGCAGGAAUAUGACGAUAUUUAUUUUUGGCACACGAUGGACACAUUGGCAUCCCAACGUACGAAGUUCGAUUGACAGGUACAACGUUGCUUGGUCCAAGGAGGACAAAUGAGGAAGAAGGAGGAAGCUAAGCUGAAAUCACCAUUGUAACAAAUCAUCACUCACAAAACAGUUUAAGCUGAUGAAAUGAUCCACUGCACUGGAGCAAUAUGAUGCAGCACUUUCUAAUGGUUAAUUUUUGGUCCGCUCAACAAAGCACGGGAAACGAUGAUAAUGAUGAUGGUUAAGCUUAAACUCGGCUUAAACUCGCAAAAAAGGACCCAUGUAACAGGUGGAUGGAAGGAAGAAGCAGUUAAACCACCACAGCUGAGGAUGAAGAUCGACACACACACACACAGAGAGUGCCAUGGUGCUCGUGCUCGAUCACCGAAAAUGGUUCCCAAAAAAAAAAGAAAAAUAAAAAAUGGCGGAGCAAAUGGGGCGACGUGCGAGAAGUUAUCUUGCUAUUUACAUUGAAUUGAUCAAAUGUGCACCCCCGGGUUCUUCACGCCCCCCCCCCCCCCAAACCCCCUUUUGCGAAGGGGAAGAGUUCAUCGGAAGGGUUCAUCGUCGACGCGAUCAUUGGCGUUGCGCAUGAGAAGCUCGUGUGCAUCAUUAUCGGUAGCGGAAGAAGUGGCCCAUUCCCGUUUCCCGUUUUUUUUUCUUUUUGGAGUGCUCUUGGACAUAAAAAAGGGAAGAGUGAUUCGACGUACUUGAAAACCGGACCGGGACCUGAAGUAAAUGCUCGGUGGCACUAAUGGAAUGGCACUUGUGACGUUAACAAAAAAGAGCUAAGAGGGCUCCAUCGGCUCAUCGGCUACAUGAUAGCUACAUAUUUGUGCUGCAGUUUAUGAGACGGGUUUCAAUUAGGGAAAAAGGAAAGAAAAAAAACCAUUCCCAAAAGCUGAAAUUUACAGAUCAAACCCGAAUUGUCAUCCCGAGGAUGAAAGGAAUUGAGUCUGCUAAUUGAUAGCGUCCAAACAGUGACUCUCCCAUGCGCGAUGCAAACCACCGAAAUGCAAUCAAACAAAAAUUAAAAACACAACACGUUAACGAUGAAAGAAUUGCAAUGGAAAAAGGACGACAGGAUAAGCCUAUGCACACUGCAAACAACGGCGUUUUGGGACAAAAAACAAACAAACAAACAAACAAACAAACAUGGCGUUCCCGUGACGUAGUUUUGUGUUGUUUUUGGGGUGGUUUUAAAUUUAAAAUUCAAAUGAUAAGUUCGUUGCAAAAAAAAAAACACACAAAGAGAAGAUCUGAUUUUUGUGUAUUUGUGUGUGCUUUUGCAUCACAUUCUACAAUGGUGCAAAUGUGUAUUUUCAUUCCGGUUAAACGAUUUGUCGUCAAUCGACAGAUCGUUGCUAAAUGGCAAACGGUGAAGGUGGGCGCCGGGCGAAAAUAUUCAUCUCGAUCGUUCGCCCGUUUGCUGGCUAAUAAACGAAUUUCGAACUUUGCUUCGAGCGUUAUUUUUAUGUGUUUUUUUUUUAGGAAAAAACUUGUACGAGCGCAUACGAAACGACAUACGAAAACGAUGCGUUUUUUGUUGUUGUGUGGAUUGAAUAUGUUUACCAUUUUUAAGAAAUCGUUGAAUUUUGACUGUUGAUUUGAAGCGUUUCCCAUUGGUAUGUAAUUAAAUUGCUUUGCUAACCAACUCCACCGUUGUUUUUCGGGGGGAGUUUGAUUUAAUUAUACCGUAACCGUGCACGAAGCGUGAUUUAUUGCUGUCAUCCUGACCAGCAUACACUUCAAACCAUUUAUGCUGAAUCCCUGAGCAGUGUGUGUGUGUGUGUGUGUUAUCCGUUACGUUAUCGUUGUGUUUGCAAGCAUGGAAUUAGAAAACAUCGACCACAAGAAUCCACCUCAAUUUGGUAUCGCAUUAAAAGUUGAAACCUUUGCACGGGCCUAUAAGCUUAUUGGGGGUGUAAUAAAAUUAUAAUUCCUACCGAGAAAAGUAUUUUAGUUUGUUGUUUUCGCUUGGUUUUUGGCAGUCGAAAAAGGAAAAGCAAAAUAAAAAAAAAACUCACACACCUCAGCAUACACGAUCACUUAUACAGAGCGUGGUUGGGUCAUAUUCACACGGGCACGUGGGUAUGAUGAAACAUAAAAAUUUCACCAGCCUUAUUGUUAUUGCUCAUUAGGAAUUAAUUUAUGUGUCGCUUCCGGAUUUUCGCGGCGUUCGCGCGAUGAAGCCCGAGAGGGCUGUAAGGGUCACCCGCAAAAAAGGUGUGCGAACGAUCUAGCGAUUCGCUAGAAUGCGUUUUUGUUAGGUCAAGACAAAAAAAAACACACACACAAAAGCACGUCCAAAUCGUCUGAUAAUGUAAAUGGUCACCAAAUAGACGAUAGCGGUUCGAACCUAGUUGGUGCUAAAACAAGCGUUACGGUGAGGGCUUUUGGUUAACAAAAUAGCACUUUGUCUUUAAAGCUUGGUGCGAGUGAGAAAGGAUUGCAAAUGUCCCACAAAAAAAGCAGAGACGCUUACACACAUACUCGUGUGAUGUUUUCAUUUUGCUCCUAUUAAUUAUUUAAUAAAUCGUCAAUUAAACUCGAAACACUUUAAGGUACGUAACCACAUGCGUGUGUGUGUGUGUGUGUGUGUGUGCGAGAGCUCUGAGACGAAGAUGGUCCAAAUUAAAACCAUUAGUUUUAUUGUCUAUUUUUUUUUGCGAACAUACCUCACCUGGGUAAAGGGUUCAACAUUUUAUUUUAUUUUUUUUUUGGGUGAUCUUUAUUCAACAGCCGGACGAUCCCCACCACGAAUUGAACCCCGGUACCGGUCCAGUGCACUAGUAAAAAAAAACCUCCUCAAAAAAAAAGGUUAAUUCUUUUCAGGAACAAGUCCAAAAAGACCCGGGGAAUGGUGCGGGAAAAUAUCUGUAUACGUACCUAUGUAAUUAUGAUAGCUUUCUGCUGAAUAAUUACGCCACACCAGUACAGUGGAAUUUUAUUUGCCUUCCACGUGCAGCUCGCUAAUAAUUCACCGUGAUUUAUGUGGAAUGAAUACGGGAGAAAAUGGUACGACGCGGCGGUUGUAAAACAAGUGCCACUGCGCAUCCAUCACGCGUAAGGUGCGCGAUUGCUUAUGAAAUUAUAUCCGCCUGAAGUAAGGAAAAUUAAAAAAGACACGUGCAUCGAUCAUUAAAGCGAGGGGGGAGGAAAGGAGAGCCCCCAAAAUACGAAGUGAAGUUCAAUCAAGGAUCCUUUAAAUCCAACAGUUGCAGAGCACUACCAGCAAUUCUCACCUUUUCAGCCAUUUUUUGCGCGAACAACAGCAUUAACAGCGAACGAGGACGACACGUGUACACCGCGUACACAAUCCGCAUAAAGGCCGGAGAUAUUAACACAGCAUUAAGCAGUGGUUGGUGAUGGGCACCGUCAAACCGGAAACUUUUCGUAGUUCGCGUGUUCAUGUUUCACACCGAAAACGGUCUCACGCAUCUGCUUAACCACUAAUGUGAUCUUGUGUCUUUUUACCCCCCGAAAAAAAGAGUGAAAGAUCGUUAAGAUAAUUAAUAUUAAUGCCGAACAGGCUAAAGGCCUCUUUUCUUGUGUGUCUCCAGUGCCGUUGAGAGUUUUUCCUUCCUCUCUCUCGUCGUCGCCGUCGUCGUCGUUGUGGUUUUGCUUAAUGUAUUAAAAUUCGAUCUUUCUGAAUAAUAAAACAAUAAAAACAUAUUUUUCCCUUCCAUCUGUGAAUCUGUCCUACAGCAGGUCGCACACACGGUUGUUAACGCACCGUGGCACUUUCCGUAACGCAAGGCACUCAGCCUCGGAAAACUCUAAUGGAACGGUGGUCCGCUUGAAGGAAAGCCAGUGCGCUAGUGAGUGUACUUAUUCUAAUGUCUGUCUCUCAUUACGCAGUGCGUACGAGUGCGUAGAAUACGUGCUAGAAAGACAAAAGCUCGGAGUGUUUCAAACGGGUGCGUUAAUUAAUUUAAAAAAAGGAAGAAAAAGGUUAAAAAAUGAGGACCCGCAAAACAUCAUUUGUGUGCGCGGUUCUGUCGGUUGUCCGGGC